UACGAAGGGUCCAAGCGUUAUCCGGAUUUAUUGGGUUUAAAGGGUGCGUAGGCGGCUUAUUAAGUCAGUGGUGAAAGACUUCAGCUUAACUGAGGAACUGCCAUUGAUACUGAUGAGCUUGAAUGUAGUUGAGGUGGGCGGAAUGUGUCAUGUAGCGGUGAAAUGCUUAGAUAUGACACAGAACACCGAUUGCGAAGGCAGCUCGCUAAACUAUGAUUGACGCUGAUGCACGAAAGCGUGGGGAGCAAACAGG
rnacentral:rRNA from 1 species